GCGUGGAGCGCGACCUGCGCAGCCAGAUGGGCUCCGAGCGCGGCCUGGUCGAGGAGUACGUGGAGAAGAUGCCGAACCCCAGCCUGAAAGUCUCUUCCUGUCUCCCCUGCAGCGUUUAAACCCGUCGACCUGGGUGAUCUGAAGAGAAGGAACACACAGGAUGCAAAGAAGUCCUAAGGCGGGUCCUCCCUGUGGAUCGGCUUCUCUCCUAAGGUCCUCAAGCAGAUUUAAGUUGAAAUUUUGUGUUGAUUUCUUCCUCUGGUCUGUGCUCCCAAAAGCUCACGGGAGAGCCAGUCAGCUUUGGGGCUGGCUCUGAAGCUGCCUGAGGUCGAGGAUGCUCAGCAGCUUACCAAGGCUGCCCAGAGCCUGUUGCAAAGGAUUCCAGUCCCCCACUCAUAGCUUUCUUUGGCCUCAAACUGUCCUUCCUCCCUUCACACUGAGCUCCCCGAUCUCCCGUUCCCCUUCCGCCGCCGCUCCGGGCGCUGGGCAGGGCUGGGCUGAGCGGAUGGGCAGCGCCAGGUCUGUGCACCAAGGCCCCGCAGCUGCUGGGGUGGGAUGUGGGCAGAAGGGACAGUUGGGUCUUUCCCUGUGCCUCAUCCGGCCUGCCUGUGCAGUUCAGGGCUGGGCAGGCUGCAGCCAGGCUGCUCCUAGCUCCACUGUGGCAGCAAGUUGCUACCUGGGCUGCCGGAGCAGAUGGGCCACAUCCAAGGCUGGAUUUUCCGUGUGCUUAGAGCAGGCCAAGAUCCCUGUGGUGCUUGAGGGGGAGUUGUUCCCCUCCCUGCAGAUGGAAAGAGGUGUGGUGUCCCGCCUCAGGUGCCUGAGAGGUGCUCAGAGGGGCCCGAGCCACCUGCAGCCCCCUGGCCUCGGUGCCUCGGCAGCCCCACGGGAGGCAGCAGCUGUGGGGCUGCAUGGAGCGAGGCUCGGGGGCUCCUCACCCCAGCAGCACUGCAGUUUUGUACCAAUACCAUUUUCCAGAUACACACCCUUGGAAGAGACCUGGCCCCACAGCUCGCCCUGGGGGCCGUAGGUGGUGGAACUGUGCUGGGGGGCCUUCCUUGGGCCCCUCGCUCCUGGCAGGGCUCAGGUGGUUCCUGCAUCAUUGCCUGAGCUGGGGAGAGCAACUGUGCCACCCUUGCCCACCUGAGCCACGGGGCCACUCCCUGGGGAGGUGGCAGCCCCCUGCCUAUCCGUGCUCCAGGCCAGCAGGGAUGGGGCUGCUGGGCCUGCCCAGUGCCAGCGGCUGCGGGAGGGCUGUGGGGACUGGGGGCUGCCAGUGGGGGCUGCCAGUACCUUUCCUUUGUUGAGUCUUUAAGCUGUGCUGUUCCCUUUCCUUUCUCUCUGUGGUCUGUCACUUGAGGAGUGUUGUAAAUAAACGCUGGUGUCCUUUUGGGGCUGCCUCGA